AUGUCCGCCCACCUCCGCCUCCUCUCCGCCGCGGCCGCGCUCCCGGCGCCCGCGUCCCUCCGGCGGGCGCGGCUGCUCCCGCCCGCGCCCCCGCUCCCCUCCGCCCGGCUCCUCGCCCCUCGCCGGCGCGGCCUCUCCCCGCGCGCGGCCGUCCGCGUCGUCCGAUGCGCCGCCGCGGCAGGCGCGGCCGACGGGGGCGAGCGGGAGGUGGCGGUGGACGCGAUGGCGGCGGAGGGCGCGGGGAUAUGGGCACAGGUGCGGGACGUGGUGGUGUUCGCGGGGCCCGCGCUCGGGCUCUGGAUCUGCGGCCCGCUCAUGAGCCUCAUCGACACCAUGGUCAUCGGCCAGACCUCCUCCCUCCAGCUCGCAGCCCUAGGGCCUGGGACCGUGUUCUGCGACUAUCUGUGCUACAUAUUCAUGUUCCUGUCAGUCGCAACCUCCAACAUGGUGGCCACCUCCUUAGCUAACAAGGAUGAAGAACUUGCACAGCAUCAAGUGUCUAUGCUGCUAUUUUUAGCUCUUACUUUUGCUUUCACUGGAUCCAAAAAUCAUGAAAUUAUUUCUGCUGCCAAUACAUAUGCACAGAUUCGAGGUUUUGCAUGGCCUGCAGUUCUCGUUGGCUUAGUUGCCCAAAGUGCUAGUCUAGGCAUGAAAGAUUCUUGGGGUCCUCUGAAGGCAUUGGCAGCAGCUAGUGUUAUAAAUGCCGUUGGCGAUAUAUUUCUUUGCUCUGUAUGUGGCUAUGGAAUUGCUGGUGCCGCCUGGGCUACUAUGGUUUCACAGAUUGUUGCAGCUUUUAUGAUGAUGCAAAAUCUAAACAGUAGAGGUUUUCGAGCAUUCUCAUUCACAAUCCCAUCGACAAGAGAGCUUCUGCAGAUAUUCGAAAUCGCAGCUCCUGUUUUUGUGACAAUGACAUCCAAGGUAGCAUUUUAUGCAUUGCUUACAUACUCCGCGACUUCUAUGGGAGCAAUAACUCUUGCAGGCCAUCAGGUUAUGGUUAAUAUAUUAUGCAUGUGCACUGUUUGGGGUGAGCCCCUGUCACAAACUGCACAGUCGUUUAUGCCGGAGAUGAUAUACGGAGCUAACCGCAAUUUGAUGAAGGCAAGGAUGCUACUCAAGUCACUCGUAGUUAUUGGAGCUAUAGCUGGACUGACUGUGGGGACAGCUGGAACGAUUGUUCCGUGGCUUUUUCCUAGGCUGUUUACCAAUGAUCAAAUGGUUGUACAACAGAUGCACAAAGUGCUGAUUCCAUAUUUCACUGCAUUGUUUGUGACACCUUCAGUACACAGCCUUGAAGGAGCAUUACUGGCUGGAAGGGAUCUCAGGUAUUUGAGUCAAUCAAUGGGUGCAUGCUUCUGCGUUGGAACCUUUCUUCUAUUGCUUGUCCGUGACAAGUUUAGUAGCUUGACACUAUGCUGGUGGGUACUUGUCUUCUUCCAGUGGAGUCGGUUUGGAAGCGCUUUACAACGGCUUGUUUCUCCAACGGGCAUGUUGUAUAACGAAAAUUUCAACCAGCCUGAGCAAGUCAAAGUGAAGGCAACAUAA
rnacentral:rRNA from 1 species